AAAAACGUCACUUUAUCAAUUUUUGGAGGCCAAUGGUAUCAUGAUAAUGUUAUUUGAACCCAAAGACACUGAACAAUUGAGCCAAGAAUAACAUUUAUUUAUU